AAUUUUGGACAAUGGGCGCAAGCCUGAUCCAUCCAUGCCGCGUGAGUGAAGAAGGCCUUCGGGUUGUAAAGCUCUUUCGUACGCCAAGAAAUCGCGCAGGCUAAUACCCUGCGCGGAUGACGGUACCCCCAUACGCAUCCACUGCCAACUUCGUGCCACUCUCCGCGGUAAUACGUAGGGUGCGAGCGUUAAUCGGAAUUACUGGGCGUAAAGCGUGCGCAGGCGGUUGAGUAAGAGAGGCGUGAAAUCCCCGGGCUUAACCUGGGAACUGCGCUUGUGGCUGGUCAGCUAGAGUACGGCAGAGGGGGGUGGAAUUCCACGUGUAGCAGUGAAAUGCGUAGGGAUGUGGAGGAACACCGAUGGCGAAGGCAGCCCCCUGGGCCGAUACUGACGCUCAUGCACGAAAGCGUGAGUAGCAAACAGG
rnacentral:rRNA from 1 species